GCAAUUAGCAACUACCUAUUUCAUUUAGGAUUCUAGAAUCAUCUAGAAAUGAUUAUAAUGAUCUACUUAGCAUUUGCUCAUAAUAGUAAACUAUGGGUUAUUUUAUUUUGCUUAUUGUAUAUUAUUAUACUUUGCGCGAGAUAAGAACGUUAUUGUGCAGGCACGCCGCUGUUAUGAAUGUUUUGAUACACCGUCCGCGAUAAGAAAAUAGUAAUAUAGGUAAUAUUAGUUAUUAGAAGUCAAUAAAAUGGAAAGAAAUAAGAAUGAUUACUGAUACUGUUUCGAGUAAUCACCAAUUACUAAAUUACUAAACUAUACUAAACUAUUCCAAAGAGUGGACAAAUGCGUGACGAAAACGCGUCAUAUUUCGCGCUGGUACUAUUUACGUUCGUUGCCGGUAGUGUGCUGUCGUCGUCUACCGCCACAAAAUGACGAGUAUACACAGCGAGCUGUAUUAACAUACUUAUGGCCGUGACGCGACAUCGUUGUCACUUCUCACAACAAUCCACGCUUUGCAUAUUUUUUUGUUUUCAAUUCACUACACAAGUUAAUUAUUUAUAAUUUACUGCACAUCAAACAGCGAUGAAGAUGAGACUAUAUCACCAUCACCUGUUAAGACGAAUAAACGUGGUAAAGUAAGCAUCUCAAUUUACAAUUAUGAUAUUAUGAUUUGUACUUUUUUUGUUAGGCGAUUUUCAAUGAAUUAAAUUACUUUCAGUCUGCAUGUUUUCAUUUAUUUUAUUAUAAUACAUUCUGAUUGCAGGCUAUUGGUGAACAACGAAGGAUCGCUACAAUAAAUUUGUCAUUGUUUCCAAAUUUGCCUUUUUACAAAAUUUGUAAACUUAUUUCGCAAUCUACGGGUAUUGGUAAAACAAUAAUUGAUUCUGUCUUCAAGGAAUACAACCUAGCAAAAACGUUCUCAAUUCCUUUAAAAAAUCAUUUAUUGAUGACUGACGAUUUUGACAAAAAUUUAGUGCGUAGAUACGUCCACGGUAUUUGAUUAAAGCGUGAAAUACCAACUGUAGACAAAAUAUAUCAACUUGUAUCCACCGACGAUAGUCUACCGUCAAUAUCGCGCACAAAUUUAUUUCGCCUUUUGAAAGCGUUGAAUUUCCGUUACAUUAAACGUAGCCGAAAUAGUGCUUUGAUAGAAACAAAUGAAUUGGUUGUGUGGCGAAGAAAAUAUUUAAGAAACUUUUUUCCACAAUUCCGUGAGGAAAGUCGACACAUUUACUACCUAGACGAGACGUGGUUAAAUGCAGGUGAUUGUACAUCCAAAACAUGUGUCGACACAACAAUGAAAUCUCACCGUGACGCAAAGGCAAAAGGCUCAUUGUCCUUAAUAUCGGUUCCGAAGAUGGUUUUGUUAUUGUGCUUUGAAUCAAAAAAAAACACGGCAGAUUAUCACGAUGAAAUGAAUGGGGACACCUUCAGGGAUUGUAUGGAAAAUAUUUUACCCAGACUAAAACCAAAUUCCGUUCUCGUUAUGGAUAAUGCAUCCUCCCACUCAGUUAAGAUUGACAAAGCCCUCGGAAGGCGGAUAUUAUUAAGUGGUUAACUGACAAGGGAGAAAUUAUUGAUACGUCUAUGGUGAUUCCUGAACUGCUCGAAAUAGUAAAACGCCUAAAGCUACAAAAUGAAAGAUAUGUCAUUGAUGAACUUGCCGCAGCCCAUAACAAGACCAUUUUAAAACUGCCACCAUACCACUGUGAACUCAAUCCAAUCGAUCUGGCUUGGUCUUCAGUUAAAAAUCAUGUAAGUAUGAACAAUACAAACUGCCAGAUGUCAAACAAUUAUUAGUUGAAGGCGUAAAUCGUGUGGACGCAGCGAUGUGGAAACAUUUUAUCAACCACACAAAAAAGGAGGAAAAAAAAUUAUAUGACAUCGAUGUUGUCAUUGACGAAGUUUUGUCCGCGGAAACAGCAGAUUUGAGGACCGCAAUUUCAGGAGACACGUCAUCUGAUGAAGAUACAGAUUCUGACUAGAAAUAAUUGUAAAUAUGCUUU